rnacentral:rRNA from 1 species
GUACACGCUGUGACUAGCAUAUCAAUAAGCGGAGGAAAAGAAACUAACAAGGAUUCCCCUAGUAACGGCGAGUGAAGCGGGAAGAGCUCAAAUUUGAAAUCUUAAAGGGUUUCCCUUUACGAAUUGUAGUUUAAAGAAGUGUUUUCUGUUGAGGUUUUGGUAAAAGUUCUUUGGAAUAGGACAUCAUAGAGGGUGAGAAUCCCGUAUUUGACCUUUACUUUCAACUUUGUGAUACACUUUCAAAGAGUCGGAUUGUUUGGGAAUGCAGUCCAAAAUGGGUGGUAAAUUUCAUCUAAAGCUAAAUAUUGGCGAGAGACCGAUAGCGAACAAGUACCGUGAGGGAAAGACGAAAAGAACUUUGAAAAGAGAGUUAAACAGUACGUGAAAUUGUCAAAAGGGAAGCGUUUGACACCAGUGUUGUUUUUCUGAAAAUCAAUUAAAGAACUGUUUAUGCUAAGUUGUUUAGACUUUAUCAGCUAACUGUUUAGUUUUGAGCUUUUCUUUAAUGCACUUUUCAGUUAACAAGUCAACAUCAAUUUCUUUUGCUGUAAAAAAGCUUGAGGAAGGUGGCUUGAGAUUCGUCUUAAGUGUUUAUAGCCUCUUGCCUAUGCAGUCGGAGAGAUUGAGGUCUGCAGCGUAGAUCCUUCGGGGCUAAAUGCAUUUGUGCUAAGUUAUAGCAUUUUAUAGACAACUUGUUGACUAUGAUUUGUCUUGUAGCUUACUCGCUUAUGUUAUUUUACCUACGCUUAGGAUGUUGAAGUCAUCGUAUCGCGC